rnacentral:rRNA from 1 species
AUCCACCUGAGUCGGAUAUGAUCACCCGCCGAACUUAAGCAUAUCAGUAAGCGGAGGAAAAGAAACCAACCGGGAUUUCCUUAGUAACGGCGAGUGAAA